rnacentral:tRNA from 1 species
GAGAGUAUAGCUCAAGUGGUAGAGCACAUGCUUAGCAUGCACAAGGUCCUAGGUUCAAUCUCCAGUACCUUCU